CUACGGGAUGCAGCAGUGAGGAAUAUUGCACAAUGGGGGGAACCCUGAUGCAGCAACGCCGCGUGGAGGAUGACGCAUUUCGGUGUGUAAACUCCUUUUAUAUGUCAAGAAAAUGACGGUAGCAUAUGAAUAAGCACCGGCUAACUCCGUGCCAGCAGCCGCGGUAAUACGGAGGGUGCAAGCGUUACUCGGAAUCACUGGGCGUAAAGGACGCGUAGGCGGGUUGGAAAGUCAGGUGUGAAAUCCUACAGCUUAACUGUAGAACUGCACUUGAAACUUCUAAUCUAGAGUAUGGGAGGGGGAGAUGGAAUUAGUGGUGUAGGGGUAAAAUCCGUAGAUAUCACUAGGAAUACCUAAAGCGAAGGCGAUCUCCUGGAACAUUGCUGACGCUAAGGCGUGAAAGCGUGGGGAGCAAAUAGGAUUAGAUACCCUGGUAGUC
rnacentral:rRNA from 1 species